AACGCACCUUGCGCCUCUUGGUAUUCCGAGAGGCAUGCCUGUUUGAGUGUCAUGAAAACCUCAAUCCUUCACGGUUUUGUUACCGGGCUGGACUUGGACUUGGGUGUCUGCCGACUUCACCGGCUCACCUUAAAGGCGUUAGUGGGAUAGGCCUCUGGCUCGACGUAAUAAGUUUCGUUGGACCCCUGGCUCUACGCCCGCUCACAACCACCCCUUACUCUUUAUCUUCUGACCUCAAAUCAGGUAGGGCUACCCGCUGAACUUAA
rnacentral:misc_RNA from 1 species